UAAGGGCUGACCACCACUAAGGUAGCAUCUCUUCCUGGAGAUUGCACCUGUGUGGAGUUUUUGUGGUGAAUUUCAACACUGGUGCGUAUCCACCUCAACCGCAGGCCUUAGUGUUGAUGUGAAGAAAUGAGUUACUGGUGCAGUUGCUCUGAAUUAGCAACAAAUGUAAAAUGCCUAUUUUCACUGAAUGAAAAUCUGUACCAAGUUUCUGUGGACUCCUCUGAAUAGUGGAAGCUUGUCAGGCAGUGGGCUGCUCAUAUCAGCUCUGAAGCCAGCAAGAGCCAUUUCCAACCAGACCCAGCAGCACCUUACCUCUCCCAUACUGGUACCCAGUACCUCCUGCUACUUAUUCACUGUCUGUCCACGCCCAGCAUGGUGCACUGUUGCAUAAGAGACAUGUCUGAGGAUUACUGUAUCCAUUAUCACUGUUACCAUCCGCAUCCCUAUAGUCAUAACUAAUUGAACUGCUCUACCUUUAAAGUAGAACACCAGGGUAAUCCUCUCAACAGUGGGUUACAUGCAAUACUGGAAUCAUCACUGCCCGUUAGAUCUGGCUACAGGGCUUACUGCUGUCACAGACUGAUUUUUUAAUCUGCUACAAACUCAACCAUGUGUCCCUGGAAAACAACUUACUGAGGUUUUAUAUUAUGCAUGUCAUUAUCAAUGUGUCAACGGUUUAUGGGCUGAUUUGGCACUGCGUCUUAUUUAUAGCUGAGAAGGAAUAAUUUUCUUCAGAAUUUUUAGUAUUAUGCAGUUUUGGUAUUGGUUCUAGAAGAAAAAACAAUUUUCAAAAUGCAUCAAUGUUUACAGCUUUUUGCUAAGCCAUGGUCAUUUACAGAGUAGGGCCCAAGGAGCUGGGAGGGAAUUAGAGACAGUUUACCUGAACUGCCAAGGGGGUAUUCCAUAUCAUAUGACAACAAGUGCAAGAAGUUUUUAAGGCACUGGGAAUUUAUCCCACUCUCUUAUAUUUCAGGUGCUUUCUAGAUGGGCAUUGGUUGAGGGUGGUGAUCAUUUGUUAUUUACAUUUAUAAAUAUUUAUGAUUGUAAAUGUUUUCCUUUCCUUUUCUCUAUCUUAGUAAACAGUUUAUCUCUUCCACAA